rnacentral:rRNA from 1 species
CCAGCUCCAAUAGCGUAUAUUAAAGUUGUUGCAGUUAAAAAGCUCGUAGUUGGAUUUCAAGGUGGAGGUGAGGCAACUCGCCAAAGCUUAUCAGUCCCUAAAGGACUGUUACUGUGAGAAAAUUAGAGUGUUUCAAGCAGGCUAUUGCAGGAAUACAUUAGCAUGGAAUAACGAAUGUGUCUAGAAUCUUGGUUAAUUCUAGAUUUCGAUUAAUAGGGACAGUUGGGGGCAUUAGUAUUUAAUUGUCAGAGGUGAAAUUCUUGGAUUUGUUAAAGACUAACGUAUGCGAAAGCAUUUGCCAAGGAUGUUUUCA